rnacentral:rRNA from 1 species
AGUGAACGCUGGCGGUAGGCCUAACACAUGCGAGUCGAACGGCAGCACAGUAAGAGCUUGCUCUUACGGGUGGCGAGUGGCGGACGGGUGAGGAAUACAUCGGAAUCUACUUUUUCGUGGGGGAUAACGUAGGGAAACUUACGCUAAUACCGCAUACGACCUACGGGUGAAAGCAGGGGAUCUUCGGACCUUGCGCGAUUGAAUGAGCCGAUGUCGGAUUAGCUAGUUGGCGGGGUAAAGGCCCACCAAGGCGACGAUCCGUAGCUGGUCUGAGAGGAUGAUCAGCCACACUGGAACGGAGACACGGUCCAGACUCCUACGGGAGGCAGCAGUGGGGAAUAUUGGACAAUGGGCGCAAGCCUGAUCCAGCCAUACCGCGUGGGUGAAGAAGGCCUUCGGGUUGUAAAGCCCUUUUGUUGGGAAAGAAAAGCAGCAGGUUAAUACCCCGCUGUUCUGACGGUACCCAAAGAAUAAGCACCGGCUAACUUCGUG